rnacentral:tRNA from 1 species
GGGACAGUAACUCAGCAGGGAGAGUGCCAGACUGAAGAUCUGGAAGUCGCCAGUUCGAGCCUGGCCUGUCCCA